rnacentral:rRNA from 1 species
CCUACGGGUGGCAGCAGUGAGGAAUAUUGGUCAAUGGACGAAAGUCUGAACCAGCCAAGCCGCGUGAAGGAUGACGGCUCUAUGGGUUGUAAACUUCUUUUAUAAGGGAGUAAAACGAGGCACGCGUGCCUGUCUGCAUGUACUUUACGAAUAAGGAUCGGCUAACUCCGUGCCAGCAGCCGCGGUAAUACGGAGGAUUCAAGCGUUAUCCGGAUUUAUUGGGUUUAAAGGGAGCGUAGAGGGGUUGUUAAGUCAGAUGUGAAAGUCUGCGGCUCAACCGUGGAAUUGCCAUUGAUACUGGCAGUCUAGAGUGCAGUUGAGGUAGGCGGAAUGCAUGGUGUAGCGGUGAAAUGCUUAGAGAUCAUAAAGAACCCCGAUUGCGAAGGCAGCUUACUAAGCU